rnacentral:rRNA from 1 species
UAAACGACUCUSGGCAACGGAUAUCUCGGCUCUCGCAUCGAUGAAGAACGUAGCGAAAUGCGAUACUUGGUGUGAAUUGCARAAUCCCGUGAACCAUCGAGUCUUUGAACGCAAGUUGCGCCCGAAGCCUUCGGGCUUAGGGCACGUCUGCCUGGGCGUCACGC